CUUUCUCUAGAACUCUCCCUCAUUCUCUCGUAUCCCUCUCUUCCGUCUUUCCUCUCUAGCGAACCAAGCAUAUACACACACCCACACCUACAAACAACAACCACAACGGUCACCACACCAUCAACAUCAUUUCCCCUACGAGUUCUACAAACCCAGAAUAAGGAGAAACCCUGAUUUCUCACUGUGCAAAAAGGUGAUCCGUUGAGUUCUCACCAUUUUUCGACGAGGUGCAACGGAGGGAAGUGAUCCAGUCCAUUCUAGUUUGAGCAGCUCUUCGAUAAAACAGUACUUGACAUAGUGACGAAGAGUACAACCCGAGCUUCGAGGCUUUUCCCUACCAGUGAUCCUGCUUACUUCCAUUUACAUAUGUUAUUUAGAAGGGCUAUUAAUGAACACCAAACAAUUUGAAAUCGUAUAAAAGAAUGACUCGUGUGCUUGAUCUAGAUAAAAUGACUUAAGCCAUCUCGAAACCAGCCGAUCAAAUUUAUCCAAAUUCUAAUGAAAGUAAGUCGUACUCAUUUUCAUUUAUAAGUGAGAUAUUUUAAAUUAGAAUUUUGUGAAUGACGAGUUCAAUACCAAUUUAUUCUCUCACCCUUAAUGUAAAUGUAUAUCGUUGUAUUAAAAAAAUUACAUUAUAUACAUGCAUACCCCAUAACAAACUAAAUCACUUAAGACUUCAUUUUUUAAAUAUUUGCUUUAAAACAACAAACACAAGGUUUUGCCAUAAAGCUAAUUAGUAAUAUAGAAAGUAUCUCAAUUAUUUAUAAGCACAUAAAAUGUCCCUCAUCCCAUUAAUGCAUGAUUCGUUCUCAACAAUAUUCUACCAAGCAUAUCAAGUUUUGAGCUGUAGUUUGUAUAAUAUGGAUCUAAAAAAUAAAUAAAUAUCGGCCGUCGUGACGUCGUCUACCAUCUUACGGACCUCUUUUUAACACACAAAAUGAUACAACUAAACAUAUUAUUAAUUACCAAUCAA